GAAGAAGUUUGGAACCACCAAGACUCCUCCUAGAGCUGGCCGCCCAGCCAAACUGAGCAAUCGGGGGAGGUGACCAAGAACCCGAUGGUCACACUGACAGAGCUCCAGAGUUCCUCUGCAUCCAUGUUGAGGCUUGCUACCAGCAGUACUGUCAGUGCUAGAGACAGAAUGGUCAAAGGACCUCCAGAGCCUUCUGACCAACUACCUGCGAUCUCUCCAGAGCACAGAGAAGCUAGCUACACCCCGAAUAGUAUACUUGAUGCACCAUGUAAACCACCUCCACUGCGGCAGUCUGCCUGUGAGUCUGCUGGGCUAUGGAACUCUAGUGCAGCACAUCAGGAAAGCUGACAACAGGGUGGCAGGUUAUCAGCAGACAGUUUCCGGAGUAAGGAUGCAACUAUCAAGGCUUUAUUUCUAUUUCAGCAUAUUGGAUGACUGUCAUUCAUAUUCCAUUCACCCAUCUCAAUGUAACAUCAAUAGGUUUAGGUUACUACAUGAUACUCAAAUAUUCCCAAAACCCAUCACGGAGGUUGCUAUAACCUAAUGAAAGUUUACAGCGUAGGUGCACAGGUCGAGGGGAAAAUUUUAGUAAUGGAGGUGAGACAUUAACAUUCAAUACCGCCUUGCACAAUAUUGCCUGCAUCUAGCUGAUCUAGGGUAUAAUCAGUAGUCUGUGUAGAAAUUCUUACACAGGGACACUCAGUCAAUCUUAAUUGAAUCAUUCUUUACUUGUCAGCGUGCUGGAAAGGUUCCAACCAACUCAAUGUACCAUAGUACACGUGUCAAGCAGGAGCUCUGCUUGGGCAGUCCCAGCAGUUAUCUUAUAUAUGGCUAUACACAGACAAGGUAUAUUUGCAUGAUUUAGCAUAAUUAAUUAAUUGUUACUGUUUCAUUCAUGUGACCGACCAAUACCUCAUGAGGCUUCUCUCGAAGCUGAGACCUUGAAACUUUCGCUCUAAAAACAAGGUCUGGUCGUACUGACAAAUUGCAGCUACUGAUAGUGAGGAUUCAUUCAGUCAGCCACUUGCAUGAAGGCAGAAAUUGGUUUAUAGAACAGGACAUGAAUAGAACACAGAAAUUAGUUUUCAGGAAAGCACAUGUAUAAUAUUUCCAUCAGUCAAACAGUUCCAAACAAAAGUUGCUAUUGGACAAUUAAGGUAUGCUGAUGCCUGUUUUGUUUGCUUCCGUUUAAGAAACAUUUUUCGGCAGAAUGAAUACACCACAUUUCACUUUCAUAGCAGCCACAUAUAAACAUGACUAUUUUACUCGUUAUAGAUAGAUAGACACACAGUCGAAGUUAGAAGUUUACAUACACUUUAGCCAAGUACAUUUAAACUCACAAUUCCUGACAUUUAAUCCUAGUAAAAAAUCCCUGUUUUAGGUCAGGAUCACUAAUUUAUUUUAAGAAU